UCAAGAAAUAUGGCAAGAAACUACCUUUUUAUUCAUUAGUUCUCAGCCGUUCCAUUGGAAAUCCAAAACAAAACAAAGAGAAAGACCCCAAGCCAAAUACCUCAAUUAAAAAAGAAAAAGAAAAAGGGGGGGUUUUGAGGGGCUUAAUUUAAGUACAACUUUGAAACAAAUGGAAUUCCUAGGAGGGAAGUAAACAACUUAGUAGCCUUUAGGCUUGUAGGCAAUGAAACUAAUGCACUGCACUUGACGAACGUUGUCGAACCCAAUGAUUCUAAUGAAUGCAUUGGGGUAUUCCUUCUUGCAAUUCUCAAGCUCCUCCAACACCUGAGCCGAGUCAGUGCACCCAAACAUGGGCAGUUUCCACAUGGUCCAGUAGCGUCCAUCGUAGUACGUGGGUAAGCUCGAGUACUUACGGUGCACGAAUCCCUCCUGCACAUACAUAUAAAACACAUUUAAUCAAAUCAAAUAUCCCACUAAAAAAAUAAAGUGUUGGAAAGGAAUAAUUUAGAGCUCGAAAACACCUCUAAUUCGAAUUCCAAGCAAGGAAUCCAUUUAGAGCGAAGAAGGUAAUCUACUUCCUUAGCCAACUGUACGGGUGUAAGAUCGGGGAGGUAUGAGAGUGUCUCGAACUUCUUCUUCCCAAGAGGAGGCCACACCUAUACUCAAAAGCCAAGAUAUAUAUUUGAUUCAAUUUAUGUAAUUUGUUGUGUUCAAACAAUUGGGGUAAUUUAAGUUGUAUUUAUGCAUCACCAAGUACCUGCAUGCAUUGCACUCUCCCACCAUUGCUUGCAAGAGAAGUGAUGUCGUUGUUGGCCUUCCUAGUGACUGGGAAAGCAGAGGCAGACUUGAGGCCGGUGAAGGGGGCCACCAUGUUGGCCUGUGCCGGGGAGGAGCAGUUCACGGUGGCAAUGGUUGCCGAUGAGAUCAUGGAGGAGGCCAUUGCUAUUACUGCUUACUAGUACUAUAUGCUACAGUUAUACAAAAGAGUCUCACUGAUCCCUUAAUA
rnacentral:lncRNA from 1 species